AGCAGUCGCCGCGGGAAAACGUAGGUGGCAAGCGUUGUCCGGAAUUAUUGGGCGUAAAGGGCUCGCAGACUGUUUCUUAAGUCUGAUGCGAAAGCCCCCGGCUCAACCGGGGAGGGUCAUUGGAAACUGGGAAACUUGAGUGCAGAAGAGGAGAGUGGAAUUCCACGUGUAGCGGUGAAAUGCGUAGAGAUGUGGAGGAACACCAGUGGCGAAGGCGACUCUCUGGUCUGUAACUGACGCUGAGGAGCGAAAGCGUGGGGAGCGAACAGGAUUAGAUACCCCGGUAGUCCCUGUCUCUUAUAC
rnacentral:rRNA from 1 species